AGAGUUUGAUCCUGGCUCAGGAUGAACGCUAGCGACAGGCUUAACACAUGCAAGUCGAGGGGCAGCGGGGUGUAGCAAUACACCGCCGGCGACCGGCGCACGGGUGAGUAACGCGUAUGCAACUUGCCUAUCAGAGGGGGAUAACCCGGCGAAAGUCGGACUAAUACCGCAUGAAGCAGGGGCCCCGCAUGGGGAUAUUUGCUAAAGAUUCAUCGCUGAUAGAUAGGCAUGCGUUCCAUUAGGCAGUUGGCGGGGUAACGGCCCACCAAACCGACGAUGGAUAGGGGUUCUGAGAGGAAGGUCCCCCACAUUGGUACUGAGACACGGACCAAACUCCUACGGGAGGCAGCAGUGAGGAAUAUUGGUCAAUGGGCGUAAGCCUGAACCAGCCAAGUCGCGUGAGGGAUGAAGGUUCUAUGGAUCGUAAACCUCUUUUAUAAGGGAAUAAAGUGCGGGACGUGUCCCGUUUUGUAUGUACCUUAUGAAUAAGGAUCGGCUAACUCCGUGCCAGCAGCCGCGGUAAUACGGAGGAUCCGAGCGUUAUCCGGAUUUAUUGGGUUUAAAGGGUGCGUAGGCGGCCUUUUAAGUCAGCGGUGAAAGUCUGUGGCUCAACCAUAGAAUUGCCGUUGAAACUGGGGGGCUUGAGUAUGUUUGAGGCAGGCGGAAUGCGUGGUGUAGCGGUGAAAUGCUUAGAUAUCACGCAGAACCCCGAUUGCGAAGGCAGCCUGCCAAGCCAUGACUGACGCUGAUGCACGAAAGCGUGGGGAUCAAACAGGAUUAGAUACCCUGGUAGUCCACGCAGUAAACGAUGAUCACUAGCUGUUUGCGAUACACUGUAAGCGGCACAGCGAAAGCGUUAAGUGAUCCACCUGGGGAGUACGCCGGCAACGGUGAAACUCAAAGGAAUUGACGGGGGCCCGCACAAGCGGAGGAACAUGUGGUUUAAUUCGAUGAUACGCGAGGAACCUUACCCGGGCUUGAAUUGCAGAGGAAGGAUUUGGAGACAAUGACGCCCUUCGGGGCCUCUGUGAAGGUGCUGCAUGGUUGUCGUCAGCUCGUGCCGUGAGGUGUCGGCUUAAGUGCCAUAACGAGCGCAACCCUUGCCACUAGUUACUAACAGGUGAUGCUGAGGACUCUGGUGGGACUGCCAGCGUAAGCUGCGAGGAAGGCGGGGAUGACGUCAAAUCAGCACGGCCCUUACAUCCGGGGCGACACACGUGUUACAAUGGCGUGGACAAAGGGAAGCCACCUGGCGACAGGGAGCGAAUCCCCAAACCACGUCUCAGUUCGGAUCGGAGUCUGCAACCCGACUCCGUGAAGCUGGAUUCGCUAGUAAUCGCGCAUCAGCCAUGGCGCGGUGAAUACGUUCCCGGGCCUUGUACACACCGCCCGUCAAGCCAUGGGAGCCGGGGGUACCUGAAGUGCGUAACCGCGAGGAGCGCCCUAGGGUAAAACUGGUGACUGGGGCUAAGUCGUAACAAGGUAGCCGUACCGGAAGGUGCGGCUG
rnacentral:rRNA from 1 species